GACGAACGCUGGCGGCGUGCCUAAUACAUGCAAGUAGAACGCUGAAGGAGGAGCUUGCUUCUCUGGAUGAGUUGCGAACGGGUGAGUAACGCGUAGGUAACCUGCCUGGUAGCGGGGGAUAACUAUUGGAAACGAUAGCUAAUACCGCAUAAUAGCAGUUGUUGCAUGACAACUGUUUAAAAGGUGCAAUUGCAUCACUACCAGAUGGACCUGCGUUGUAUUAGCUAGUUGGUGGGGUAACGGCUCACCAAGGCGACGAUACAUAGCCGACCUGAGAGGGUGAUCGGCCACACUGGGACUGAGACACGGCCCAGACUCCUACGGGAGGCAGCAGUAGGGAAUCUUCGGCAAUGGACGGAAGUCUGACCGAGCAACGCCGCGUGAGUGAAAGAGGGGUUUUCGGGAUCGUAAAAGCUUCU
rnacentral:rRNA from 1 species